UCUAGAAAACUUAAUAUCUGCAGUAAAGUAUUUAGUAGCAAAGUAGUAUGGAAAUAACGGUAACAGUGGCAAAGGUAACUGUAGCAGUUUUGUAAUGACUAGUAGUUGGGGCGCUUGUGGUGCGCCGCUUGAGGGGCAUCUGGGCGGUGCCAGGUAGAUGAACACCCUUUUUUACUUUCCUUUUUGGAUCAAGAUAGCAGGACAUGUACAUGCAAUUCUAUGGAACUUAUUAUAUUGGAACAUCGUCUGAGGAAGAAACUGAAAUGCCACGCCCACAACGAUAUAGCAUCGAUAGGAGCAUGUUUCUGUUUGGCAACAUAGGAUACAUUAAUAGAAAUUACACGCAUGUCGGCCCUGGCAGCGAUACCUCCGUCUAACCGUGCGGCUGACGAUGCGUCGGCAGUAGCUCGCCGUCACAGACGGCGACGAACCUCCGGGACAUGGUGUGGAUGUUGGCGCGAGGGAGAUGUUGAGCUUGGUUUAGAGGUCCCUGAUGGCAAUCCUAGUCCUCUCGAUGGCAAACGGCUCCGCACUGUUGGCGUCCUAGUUCCUCGGCUUCCUUGCCUGCAAAUGAAUUCCACUUCAUAUCUGUGGCAUGACUGGUUCUGAGCUUAUAAUGAUUAUAUGAAUUAUGAGAGAAGCGAGUGUGCUCGAUCAAACAUACACGGACUUCCGGCUCACCUUGUGGCUCUGAAAGAGCUGGAAUGGCUCCGGCAAAGCUUUACAGAUGCCGACUUGCUCGGCGGCGGCGUCACCCUCAACAUCCCCUUUCAGAGCAGUUCGUUGAACUGUCUAUGUACAAAAUAUCAAUGAUCAAUGCUACAGUCUACCUUCUACUUACGUUCUAUGAAGCUAUUUUCUCAAAUUAGAUAUCAAAAGUAUUAAUCCUUAACCUUAGGCCAUAGGAAAGAGCCAACAAUUAGAAACAAGGAAAUACUGGUGAAGAUAGAAAACCUGCUUCCGGUUCUUCUUUUCUGCAAGGACUUUUCCUCAGCAAACAUUUGUAACACUGGUUAUAAUUAUUUCAGUUCUUAAAAAAGCAUGGGACGAAUAGGAGAAAAUACAGGAAUAUCAAGGUAAGAUCCUAGGAAAGGAUGCCUCAAAUUAAUUGAAGGCCCACUGAAAUGAGUCAGACAUAUCAUGCAAUAUGAAAUAACAUUCUUCAAAUUGUGCGAAGGAACUACCUUUGUUGUUCCAUUGGCUCGAUAGACAUCAAAGUAAUGUGAACUAAUUCAGUCUCCAUCUAUCUACAACGUUAUUAUAUCCUGAAAAAAAAGCAAAACUAAUUAUACCACCAUAAGUUUUAUACAAACCACAUCAGACAGAUAUUAGAUCGAAACGGACAAGAAAGCAUCAAUGAAGUUUAAAGAUUCCACCCUCUAGAUCAACAUUGAAUUGUAGACUUGACAGCGAAAUCAGUUAUUUGCAGCUUCCUUCCGCAAAGUUUGCAAAAGUUACAAAAAAUAACCUUUUUUUAGCAGAACUCAAAUAACCUUGUUGUUCAAAUAUGAGAAAGGUUAUAGCUUAAUGAUUACCCAAAGUUCGUUCUCUUGAAAAGUGUAUCAAACUUUUACGAGAAGGCUAUACAAUAUUUUACUAAACUAAAUUCUUUCAGGCUGUUUUUUAAAAUCAACGCAUCCCUCAUCAAGUCAUACUUUUCUAGUACUUCCUACAAAUUCUUCAAAGAAUAGUACACCAUGACAUAGUAAUGCAAUGCCUAGAGUUAAACAUAAUCAACUUUGGCAGAUACAUACAUGACUGUGUACCAUUGUUCCUGCCAUCUUUUGUCAGUGCACAUUGUGUCUGCUUGAACAACCAACUUCAAAAUACUCAGUGUUUUAGAUUGUGGAGUAGUCGUGUGAUCUGUAAACAUUUGUUCCUGCCAUCUUUUGUCAGUGCACAUUUGGCAGAUACAUACUUUCUGUUACAAUACAUUAAUACAACAAAAUAAAUAAAUGCAAUAGUAGUAUAGCAAGUUUUUUAGGGUUUAGCAUGGUUUUUGUCAACAGAGUAUAAUACACGAAGUUAUUAGAACACCGAUCAACCGAGCAUUGUGUUAGAUAGCAGUAUAGCAUGGUAUUUCCAGAAACAGGAAUGUGAAAUUUCAAAUUUUCAGCUUACAACAGAAUACUCCGUGUUUCAGACAUUUGAGUAUUAUCACACAAUUUAAAUUAGUCACUAUCUAGUUCAUAGAAGAUGUUAGAAGAUAUUGCAAACCUCAUCUACUGCAUUAUCAAGAAGUUUAGAUAUAGCUGCACGGCAAUAGAGAAGUUAUUAGAUAAAUAUUCUACAUGGUGGCAUACGAUCUUGAAGAUCAAACUUAAAGAAGAAAAGUCAUGAGUACAUCAUGCCUUUACUGGAUUGAUAUUCAUAAUUAUUUCAGUGAUGAACUGAGCUUUAUUUAAAUAUUAUUUAUUUUUGUCUUUCGCCAAAACCUAAAAUAAUAUAACCUUGGCAAGAGGUAUCCCUAAACCUCUACCAUAUAUCCUAAAACACCUAAAACGGGGACUAACCCAAAGUAAUAGAAGUGCCUAUGAAAUAGUUUUAACCGACAGAAUCAAACAAUAGAAACCGAGGCCUGACCCAUCAGCAAAGAUGAGAGGAUGGAUACAUGGAUGGGAUAAAAGCGAACGGUUCCAAGGCGGGAACUGGGUGCAACCUGCUCGGAUGGGGAGUGAUUUGGCACUGCGGAUGCAGACGAAGAGGAGGCAUGUGGACGGUGAGCUUUGCGCGCCUGACGCUCGCUCAGAUCGGCAUAGUAAACUAACCCUGCAUCCACUUUAUAGAAAAGAAAAGGCAUCAUGCUUGUAUUGACCACAGCAAAUCGAGUCAAGAUUAAAUUUAGGUAAAUAUAUAAAUUUGGCAAUGCUAAAUACCUCGAAGGAAAAAUGACUUGGAAAAUCUGAUCAAUAGAAUAAAGCAAAAUCAAAAGAAAAUUUGCUGGAUAUAGCUGUUGUAUGUGGUGUUGACACGCUCGGCUACGUAUGUUGCAUGUUCCCCUUGCUUAUCAUGUAUGGCUUUGCUCCCCUACACGAAUUAUGACUCCUCUGGCAAUAUAGAACUUGCAAGCUAAUUAUUUCUACCAUUAUGUGCCUCCUAAUGAUCCAUGAACCAAUGAAAUAUAUAUAGCCCUCCGGUGGCACUUGGAGAUUCAAAGAUACACAUUUGGCCACUCCAAAGAAUAAUAGGUUUGUGAUUCAAAAUAAUUGUUAAUCGAUUGAAGCAUAAACUUGGUAUAGAAAAGAAAAAUGAUUAAAUUGUCUAUCUGAACCAUAUGAUCAUUGCAACUCAAAAAGGAUGCAGCAUUGCCGAUGAAAAUAAAAUAGACAAACC
rnacentral:rRNA from 1 species